rnacentral:lncRNA from 1 species
AAAAUCCUAGGUAGGAAUAAUGAAAUCAAUUUCCUCAGAACCCUAAUAAUUACUUCCAUGCCCCAACCGCUACUCUCCCUUCUCCCGUAUUCUUCUAUCGAUUUUCGAAAUUUUCUUUCCAACAAGCUUAGUCCCUUGAUUCUUUCUGUUUUCUGAUAACAUAUCUUCCUCUUUAAUCUUUAUCCAAAUCUCUCUUGCUUAUUCUGGAGAUAUUCACCGAUGAAUUUUCGGCAUAUGAAGCAGCUCAUUCUGAUAAAUUGGGGCUAUAAAUAUUAGCAACGACCCUUUCGUAUCUUGCAUCUUCUUCAAUAUUUCUCACAAUUCAAAGAUUCGACUGUUGUAGAGAGGACUAAGGAGGUAUGAAUGAAGAAACCUUAUUCUCUGUUGUGCCUCCAUUCUUCCUCACAUGUUCAAUUUGUAGGAUUCAUCUGGCUGGUCACUGUUCAGUUUGUUUUUCAUAUGUUCUAACUUAGUAACUUGUAUGUCGUAAGAAACCAGAUGAAUUGAGACUGCUAAUAUUCGUUUUGUUUCUUCAUUCUAGCAGGUUCCUGGUAUCUUACAGUAACCGAGACACUAAGUUGAAGAUAGUAUAGUGGUAGAUUAUUCUCAGUAGGUAACUGUGGAAUUACUUCUCUUCUUGUGUUUCAUCACUUUUAGCUCAUAGUGUUUGAUAUGGUUUGUUUUAUGCAGGGUUGUCUUUGUUCGUAGUUACUAAUUUGACACAGACAGACUGUUUUGCCUUCUCUUCUUUGACCAGAGCAGAGGUAUGUGUCUUUGAUAGGUUUUUUUACUCGUUACUAUAUAUUUAAUUUUAGCUUAGAUGAUUAAUUUUGAAUUCCAUGUUCUGUUUGAGUGGUUUACCCCAAUUUCCAAAUGGUUAAUUUGGUUUGCUUUGUUUUAUUCUUGUGGUUUUUUUGUAGAUUAUCUUUGUUUAUUAUGGGUAACUCUGCUGCUAAGUCAAUCGAGAAGGGGGGAAAGGCAUUGGAGACAGCUAUUUUGAGGUGCGAUGGAAUAUAAAGAAAUUACACUCUAUUCCUUUGUGUUUGUGAUUGCCUUGCUUGUUAUUCAAAGUAGUUAGUGCUUUACUAAUCCAUAAAAUCUGCUUCUCUCUAAUCUUAUUCAUUAAUCUUCUUAUUCAACAUACUUAUCACAAUUGUCUCUCAAAUCUAUUUAUCUAAACUCCCUCUAUAAUUUACUUAUCUAAAUUAGUUUUCUCUAAUCUACUUCUUUAAACGACUUCUAGAGUUGGAAUUAUAAUGGAUAAUCGUGUUCCCUCUGAACCCCUAGCUAGUAAUGGUGGUUUUGUUACACCAACUGUGAGUGCAGCUACAGGAACUAUUCUAGUAACUGGUAAUGAGACUCUUUUAUUGUCGCAAACGCAUACACAAGAGGAUAAAAUUACUGAUGCAACAGCUUCUCAACCUAAUUCUAAGCCUAUUGAAAAAUUAGUAGAUAUGAGUAAGCUUACGAGUGACAUUUGGGCUUACUUCUACAGAGUGAGGAAUGGGGGAAUCGUUAAGGCUAAGUGUAAGCACUGCCAGAAGCUGCUAGGUGGGGAGUCAAAAAAAUGGAACAUCUCAUUUGAAGACUCAUAGAAUAGGUUGCCUUCAAAGGCAGCUUCAUGACAGUAAACAGAAAAUACUAGGCCCUAAUUUCCCUAAUUCCAAGAAGGAACUCGCUGCUACCAUCUUUAGUGUUGAAGUGUCUAGGAAAGAGUUAGGCUUAGCCAUAGUAAUGCAUGAGUAUUACUAUUGUCUUCGAUCCAUGAAAAAAAUCUCCAGUUGGUCAACUCUUCCUGUACCUUUUGUUAUGAGAAGAUAAAGCAAUUGAUUAUCGACUUGGUUCAGUAAAAAAUUAGUCCUAACAAUGUUGAUCCCUCUGAUGAAAUUACUCAAAACCCAUAAACUAAAGAUAUAGACUUUGAAAUCUAUGUAAGUCGAAGAAAAAAGGCACGAGCGAUUGUUUGUCAAUCUGAGUUGGACAAUUAUCUUAAUGAAGAUAUCAUUCAGCGAUCACCUAAAUUACGUCUUCUCAAGUGGUGGGAAGAUAAUGGUGUGAAAUGUCCAACUUUGCAAACAAUUGCUAGAGAUUUGCUAGCUAUACCGGUUACUUUGGUUGCCUCUGAAGCAGCCUUUAGCGUCAUUGGUAGAUUAUUGGAUCCACAUCGAAGUUGAUUUCACUACAUUACGGUGGAGUCUAUGAUGUGUUUGAGGAGUUGUGUUCAUGAUGAGAUCAAGAAAG